AGAGUUUGAUCCUGGCUCAGGAUGAACGCUAGCGGCAGGCUUAAUACAUGCAAGUCGAGGGGCAGCAGGACGGUAGCAAUACCGUUGCUGGCGACCGGCAAACGGGUGCGGAACACGUACGCAACUUACCCAUAACUGGGGGAUAGCCCGGGGAAACCCGGAUUAAUACCUCGUAACAUCAUUGAGUGGCAUCACUUAAUGAUUAUAGCUCCGGCGGUUAUGGAUGGGCGUGCGCCUGAUUAGGUAGUUGGCGGGGUAACGGCCCACCAAGCCUACGAUCAGUAACUGGUGUGAGAGCACGACCAGUCACACGGGCACUGAGACACGGGCCCGACUCCUACGGGAGGCAGCAGUAAGGAAUAUUGGUCAAUGGACGCAAGUCUGAACCAGCCAUGCCGCGUGAAGGAUGAAGGUCCUCUGGAUUGUAAACUUCUUUUAUAUGGGACGAAACCCUGGUAUUCCUACCAGAUUGACGGUACCAUAGGAAUAAGCACCGGCUAACUCCGUGCCAGCAGCCGCGGUAAUACGGAGGGUGCAAGCGUUAUCCGGAUUCACUGGGUUUAAAGGGUGCGUAGGAGGGCAGGUAAGUCAGUGGUGAAAUCUUCGAGCUUAACUCGGGAAACUGCCGUUGAUACUAUCUGUCUUGAAUACCGUGGAGGUGAGCGGAAUAUGUCAUGUAGCGGUGAAAUGCUUAGAUAUGACAUAGAACACCGAUUGCGAAGGCAGCUCACUACACGAAUAUUGACUCUGAGGCACGAAAGCGUGGGGAUCAAACAGGAUUAGAUACCCUGGUAGUCCAC
rnacentral:rRNA from 1 species